AAAACGGCUCCUUUAAGAGCCAUCAAAUUCAUUAAAAGAAUUAAAAG
rnacentral:ncRNA from 1 species